AUGUGCCACAUCUCCUCUCACUCUGCCCUGGACUCCUGGACCCUCUGUGUGUCCCUUUGUAUCCUGGUAGUGACAUGCACAGAUGCUGGCAUUAUCCAGUCACCCAAGCAUGAGGUGACAGAAAUGGAACAAACAGUGACUCUGAGAUGUGAGCCAAUUUUCGGCCACAAUCUCCUUUUCUGGUACAGACAGACCUUCGUGCAGGAACUGGAAUUGCUGAGUUACUUCCGGAGCCGAUCUAUUAUGGAUGACGCAGGUAUGCCCACAGAUCGAUUCUCAGCUGAGAGGCCUGAUGGAUCAUUCUCUACUCUGAAGAUCCAGCCUGCAGAGCAGGGGGACUCGGCCCUGUAUGUCUGUGCAAGUCGCUUAGCCACAGCGCUGCAGAAUCUCCCCCUCCCUGUGCAGAAACUCUGUUGCUUCCUUUUCUCCACAGCUCCCAGCAGUCCUGAGCAAAGUCUUUCCUGCCUCACCCUCCCCACAAGAAUAAUUAAGUGGGGGCGCUGUUGGUACAUCCUACAGACAGAGGAGCGGCUGUGGAAUGCAAAGAUGAACUCAGACAGGCAGCAUGAGGCCUCUGUUUCCAGACAGCUCUGGAGCCCAAAGCGAUGA